rnacentral:rRNA from 1 species
GAUGAACGCUGGCGGCGUGCCUAAUACAUGCAAGUCGAGCGAAUGGAUUAAGAGCUUGCUCUUAUGAAGUUAGUGGCGGACGGGUGGGUAACACGUGGGUAACCUGCCCAAAAGACUGGGAUAACUCCGGGAAACCGGGGCUAAUACCGGAUAACAUUUUGAACCGCAUGGUUCGAAAUUGAAAGGCUGCUUCGGCUGUCACUUAUGGAUGGACCCGCGUCGCAUUAGCUAGUUGGUGAGGUAACGGCUCACCAAGGCAACGAUGCGUAGCCGACCUGAGAGGGUGAUCGGCCACACUGGGACUGAGACACGGCCCAGACUCCUACGGGAGGCAGCAGUAGGGAAUCUUCCGCAAUGGACGAAAGUCUGACGGAGCAACGCCGCGUGAGUGAUGAAGGCUUUCGGGUCGUAAAACUCUGUUGUUAGGGAAGAACAAGUGCUAGUUGAAUAAGCUGGCACCUUGACGGUACCUAACCAGAAAGCCACGGCUAACUACGUGCCAGCCGCCGCUGUAA